rnacentral:rRNA from 1 species
GACGAACGCUGGCGGCGUGCUUAACACAUGCAAGUCGUACGGUAAGGCCCUUUCGGGGGUACACGAGUGGCGAACGGGUGAGUAACACGUGAGUAACCUGCCCACAACUUUGGGAUAACGCUAGUAAACUGGUGCUAAUACUGGAUAUGUGCUCCUGCUGCAUGGUGGGGGUUGGAAAGCUCCGGCGGUUGUGGAUGGACUCGCGGCCUAUCAGCUUGUUGGUGGGGUAGUGGCCUACCAAGGCGGCGACGGGUAGCCGGCCUGAGAGGGUGACCGGCCACAUUGGGACUGAGAUACGGCCCAGACUCCUACGGGAGGCAGCAGUGGGGAAUAUUGCACAAUGGGCGCGAGCCUGAUGCAGCACCGCCGCGUGCGGGAUGACGGCCUUCGGGUUGUAAACCGCUUUCAGCAGGGACGAAGCUUUUUGUGACGGUACCUGCAGAAGAAGCACCGGCUAACUACGUG